AUUGAACGCUGGCGGCAUGCUUUACACAUGCAAGUCGAACGGUAACAGGCCGCUAGGUGCUGACGAGUGGCGAACGGGUGAGUAAUGCAUCGGAACGUGCCCAGUCGUGGGGGAUAACUACUCGAAAGAGUAGCUAAUACCGCAUACGAUCUAUGGAUGAGAGCGGGGGACCGUAAGGCCUCGCGCGAUUGGAGCGGCCGAUGUCAGAUUAGGUAGUUGGUGGGGUAAAGGCUCACCAAGCCAACGAUCUGUAGCUGGUCUGAGAGGACGACCAGCCACACUGGGACUGAGACACGGCCCAGACUCCUACGGGAGGCAGCAGUGGGGAAUUUUGGACAAUGGGCGCAAGCCUGAUCCAGCAAUGCCGCGUGCAGGAAGAAGGCCUUCGGGUUGUAAACUGCUUUUGUACGGAACGAAACGGCUCUGGUUAAUACCCGGGGCUAAUGACGGUACCGUAAGAAUAAGCACCGGCUAACUACGUG
rnacentral:rRNA from 1 species